rnacentral:rRNA from 1 species
GACGAACGCUGGCGGCGUGCCUAAUACAUGCAAGUUGAGCGAUGAAGAUUGGUGCUUGCACCAAUUUGAAGAGCAGCGCACGGGUGAGUAACGCGUGGGGAAUCUGCCUUUGAGCGGGGGACAACAUUUGGAAACGAAUGCUAAUACCGCAUAACAACUUUAAACAUAAGUUUUAAGUUUGAAAGAUGCAAUUGCAUCACUCAAAGAUGAUCCCGCGUUGUAUUAGCUAGUUGGUGAGGUAAAGGCUCACCAAGGCGAUGAUACAUAGCCGACCUGAGAGGGUGGUCGGCCACAUUGGGACUGAGACACGGCCCAAACUCCUACGGGAGGCAGCAGUAGGGAAUCUUCGGCAAGGGACGAAAGUCUGACCGAGCAACGCCGCGUGAGUGAAGAAGGUUGUCGGAUCGGAAAACUCUGUUGGUAGAGAAGAACGUUGGUGAGAGUGGAAAGCUCAUCAAGUGACGGUAACUACCCAGAAAGGGACGGCUAACUACGUG